CUCGGUGAGAGGUUCGUGCUUCACCCAGAGGCAGAAGGCAAGUUCUCAGCAGGGAAACAAGAUGUGAUCCAGCUGUUGGAACUAUUGUUCCUGAAGGGCUGACAAUUUGGGCUCGGAUUAUCAUGGAACCGGUCCUUGGAGAAGAUGGCUCCUCCCACUCUGUUCAGUCAUUGGCUGCGUGUGGCUCUUCAUUGGAAGUGGUUGCGAAAUUUCCCCCAUACAGUUUGACAUAUCAACUAACAUAGUCAUCACGCAAGUCUUGUCUAGCUGAGGAAGAACAAAGAAACGCCGGCACUUCUCAAGGCAGAACAAACCAUCCAACAACCGCAGACCAUGAACGGCAGAACUGGUUUUCUCGAGGCUAAUUAUCCUAGGUCUUUUAAUAACUGCAGUCCUGGAGAGGCUUCUGAAGGCCUUUUGAAUCAAGUAGCAAUCCGGAAACUGUAGUCUUCACAGAGCAGCCUCUUCAGGCAGAACAAGGGCUCUGGACUCUGUGUUUUCGAUGCUCUGAUUUGGCUGAGUUUUCUUCUGAUAAAAAAAAAAACAAAACUUUAAGGACAUUGAUGGACACAGGAAGUGUGUUUACCGCAAGCGUGAUUCUUUAGACAGACUUGGUGACACACAAGAGGUGUCAGAAUCAGAAGGCUUCUUUCUGCUCCAGACUCAGAAGGGGAGCUGACAUCUUUUAUCAAAAAGACAGACAAUUCCAAUCCCUUGACGAUUCUAGAUUAUGGAUCCCAGGAGGCUCGCCUUACACCGGCGUCUUAUCACCGGAAUCAGAGUGGCUGCUGUUUAUUUUCCGAACCUCGGCAUAGUUUUCAAGGUGUUGCCUGCCAGCGGGGCCUGGGCCGACAGUGACAUGUGUUAUUGUCACAUCGCUAGAUCUGAAAGAAAACGCGAGAUAAAUAAAUA